UUGUGGCGGUGACGCGCGCCGAGGAGGAGCAGGCCCGCUUCUUUCUGGAGUCGGCCGGCUGGGACUUGCAGAUCACGCUAGCGAGCUUUUAUGAGGACGGAGGUGAUGAAGACAUUGUGACCAUUUCGCAGGCAACCCCCAGUUCAGUGUCCAGAGGCACAGCCCCCAGUGAUAAUAGAGUGACAUCCUUCAGAGACCUCAUUCAUGACCAAGAUGAGGAUGAGGAGGAGGAGGAAGGCCAGAGGUUUUAUGCUGGGGGCUCAGAGAGAAGUAGACAGCAGAUUGUUGGCCCUCCCAGGAAGAAAAGUCCCAACGAGCUGGUGGAUGAUCUCUUUAAAGGUGCCAAAGAGCAUGGAGCUGUAGCUGUGGAGUGAGUGACCAAGAGCCCUGGAGAGACCAGUAAACCGAGACCAUUUGCAGGAGGUGGCUACCGCCUUGGGGCAGCACCAGAGGAAGAGUCUGCCUAUGUGGCAGGAGAAAAGAGGCAGCAUUCCAGCCAAGAUGUUCAUGUAGUAUUGAAACUCUGGAAGAGUGGAUUCAGCCUGGAUAAUAGAGAACUCAGAAGCUACCAAGAUCCAUUCAAUGCCCAGUUUCUGGAGUCUAUCCGCAGAGGGGAGGUGCCAGCAGAGCUGCAGAGGCUAGCUCACGGUGGACAGGUGAACUUGGAUAUGGAGGACAAUAGGGACGAGGACUUUGUGAAGCCCAAAGGAGCCUUCAAAGCCUUCACUGGCGAGGGUCAGAAACUGAGCAGCACUGCCCCCUAGGUGUUGAGUACCAGCUCUCCAGCCCAACAGGCAGAAAAUGAAGCCAAAGCCAGCUCUUCCAUCUUAAUCGACGAAUCAGAGCCUACCACAAACAUCCAAAUUCGGCUUGCAGAAGGCGGGAGGCUGGUGCAGAAAUUUAACCACAGCCACAGGAUCAGCGACAUCCGACUCUUCAUCGUGGAUGCCCGGCCAGCCAUGGCUGCCACCAGCUUUAUCCUCAUGACUACUUUCCCGAACAAAGAGCUGGCUGAUGAGAGCCAGACCCUGAAGGAAGCCAACCUGCUCAAUGCUGUCAUCGUGCAGCGGUUAACAUAACCGCCCAGCCAGCUGCCUGGCGUCCCUCCUGUGUUUCCCAUGGCCAGUGGCCAUGCCCCAUGAGGAUCACCCCUCCUGCCCCCUUGUGCACACCCAGCAGUCCAGUGCGACGUCUCCUCCAUAGCUCUGGGUUCUUAGAUCUUGGUUGGACAUUUGUUUUCUCCUUAGUUGCAUUUCCUGGGUUUUUGUGACGAUCAAUGGACUUUAAUGAAAAAAAAAAAAAAACCACC